GCCUGGUGUGGUGGCACACACCUGUAAUCCCAGCUACUUGGGAGGCUGAGGCAGGAGGAUUGCAAAUUUGAGGCCAGUCUCAGCAACAUAGCGAGAUUCCAUUUCAG
rnacentral:sRNA from 1 species